rnacentral:rRNA from 1 species
UACGUAGGGUGCAAGCGUUGUCCGGAAUUAUUGGGCGUAAAGAGCUCGUAGGCGGUCUGUUGCGUCGGCUGUGAAAACCCGAGGCUCAACCUCGGGCCUGCAGCCGAUACGGGCAGACUAGAGUUCGGCAGGGGAGACUGGAAUUCCUGGUGUAGCGGUGAAAUGCGCAGAUAUCAGGAGGAACACCGGUGGCGAAGGCGGGUCUCUGGGCCGAUACUGACGCUGAGGAGCGAAAGCUAGGGGAGCGAACGGG